rnacentral:lncRNA from 1 species
UCUACCUUUUGUCCCUACAUCAGAAGGCGCCUUUAUCUACGUAGCCGGAUUAUUUACAUUGCAUUGCCACGUAUUGCUCCAGGGUCCAGGCUGUAGGCUGUAUCACAUUCACGUGGUAGGCUGCUCCAGCGAAAACACCACUACCACCGCUGGCUGCAGCUCUGUCGGCAAUCAGCAGUGUUGCUUCUCAUCGUGAGGUGUGAAAGGACUGGAAUGGGGUAAGAACGACGGAUAAGAGAUGUAACCAUAAGCUGGGGACGGGGUGGUUUGUACGUACCCAUACCUUCUCACAGACAACACACGCCUGGAUAUACCAUUCCCCCAACCUAGGCCGCAGCUACAGCCCUGAUCAUAUGUUACAUCCCCCACCACCAUCGCAUCCCUUUCCAACCUGCCCACACCCCUUUUACUUUCCAACCUGCCCACAUCCCCUUUACCUUCCAACCUGCCCAUAUCCCCUUCCUAUAUCUCCUUUUCCCCAUGCCGUGCCUUCAGUCAAGCCGGGCACCGCAGCUGGGAAAUCGUCCAUCCAUCACCACUGUGUUGGCGGUUCUGCAGGCGCCUAGUACCAUCGGUCCAGCCGCUGCAGGAACUUCCGCUUGCUGCUGGCCGUGUACCGGUCACCACCGCAUUGCCGGUUGCACCGGCACCCGCAGGUUUGCAAGCGACACCACAACGGGUUGCAAAUCUUCGGGUGCCGGUGCAACUGCCAAUGCAGCGGUGAUCGACGCCUAGCAUGGAUGCUGCUGCCUGGGCGACUGUGCGGCCUCCCCACUAUGGCACUUAUGUCCGACCUAAGCCAGGACUGGAACAGCAUGUCGUAAUGGUGCUUUGGUGUCGUAACGUUCCCAGUACGGAUUGGUAAAGCUGCACAUCAUGAUGGGCAAUGCUCGCUGCCGCCCAUGGCAUCACGGGCGCAUGGGGCUGGGACGAUGAUUUUCGUCUGUUCCCAGCCAUCAUGCGGUCUUGUGCCUGAUGACUGCCCUGCACAAAAUCUCCUUGACCUCCCUUUAUCUGCACAACUUGUAAUCCGAAAUACACACAAUCUGCAUGGCAGUGCAUAUUUCCCUUGCAACUCCCUUGCCUGAUCCCUUUGAAGAGUCCCUCCACCUUUCCAUGAAGCUUUCACUCUUACUAUUCUGACCUUGGAGCCUUCGUAGCUCCGUUUGGCAGGGCAUCGGGGCACCAUGGUUUGCGCUUGUUGCAUGCAGCGGUUUGUUGCCGCUGUGAGACUCACGAGCUUUGAACUCUGAGCCCCGGGGUGCCCCAUAUUCGAUUAUGUAUGCUCGCCAUGUGUGGGUUGGGUUGUACAGCUGUGAAGGGUUCGGUUGUACAGCUUCGCGCUCACGUUGGCGUUACCAGAUGUGCUCAGCUCUUGGAUGGAUCCAGGGCGUGGAUGUGGGCUGUGAUGUUGUUAGGGAUACAUAUCUGUACGCACUAUCAGCACACACUAGCGCCCAAAGGGCUUACCGAGUUGCGGGUGUUGUGAUCUCGUGCGUCGUUGCUCUAGCGCUGGCGGCUGCUGGUCAGGUUAGGCCCCCACGUUCGCCUGUGUACGAUCGCGUCGUGGUAUGCUCAUGCAUUCCUGUCCCCCUGUGCACCAUUGCUGGUAGCGGCUGAUAGACAGCGACAUGCAGGGGUGUCAGCAGGAUGGACAAUCUGGAUAGUGCAUCUUGGGAUGUUUUAUUCCGAGGCCGUAAUGUGGAGCUGUAUUUGAGUGGAGAUCUUAUGUCUGUACGAUGAUCUGUGGACGAGAGGCAACGGUUACGCACGUUGUUCAUACAAGGCUACGCGAAAAGCGCAUGUAUGGCAGCUAAAUCCUUCAUUUGCUGAUCUUGGUGCCUCAUUUUCUUCGCUGUCUCCGCUUAUUGAUAUCUGUACAUAGGACCGCCACAGAGAUUUGCAUAAGUGUUUAGAAGGUUGUCAAUACUUCGCUACUGGCGUCGCAUAUUGUCCCAGCAGUGGUACACCCAUCUUCACUAGCGAUAUGGGCCGCUAUCUAUGACAGAUCCACCAGGAAGCUACAUAGAUAGCGGGUUAAGCGGACCUGGCUAUAAAGUACUAUUUUUACUAAUGAAGUACUAUUUUUACUAAUGAGCAUCAAUCAACACGACUUAACUUGUGGAAAUGAUUUGUUUGUUUUAUUUAAUUAUACUAACAAAUUAAUCAAUUUCUACACUUCUUUUUCAUCGGCACUUUGUCUGUGCCGCAGUGUUGUCUUGGAAGAGAAUUCAAAGCCCAUGUUCAAGCCUGGGAACGUAUAACACAAAACACCAGAUAAUGAUAUUUAAUGUGAUAUUCACAUUUACUUGGGUGAACUAUUGCACCUGGGC